GCAUGUGAAAGAGAUGGAGCAACUAUAGCAGGAAAUUUUAUUUUGUAUCACCAAAAGGAAGUUUGCUUGUUCGUAUCUACGAUUGACAUCUUCAGUACUUGCUGAAUAAGCACAAAUGAUUCCUUUUCUAUCGCAAUAUAUAUGUUUGCAUCUACCUAAGAGAUUUUAGAUUUGUGAGUGUAUGGAGCCCUCAUUAGUAUGAGAGAUUAAUUUAUUUCAGUGUUUGAGCUGUUACUGAGCUUAAAAUCUUAAAAAACACACACAAUACAACACCAGCUCUGUAAUCUUUUUACCGAGUAGACUAUAAUAAUUCCAGAAGAUUUAACAUAGUUUAUUAGAUGAAUGGCUUGCAACUUUAAGGGACCAUAAACUUAUAUUUAAAAAUUAUCAUAAGUAAAACAGGAUUCUGACAGUAAUGCAUGUAAUCUAAUUCACUAAUGUAUCAGUUGUGAAUACUUUUUAGAUAUCCAGUAAACUAAAAUGAAACAGUGGACAUACAACAAACAUGUGUAACAGAAGAAAACCCAACUUUAGAAGAAAGUAGUAUUUGUGUAAUAUUUAAUGUGGGCGUAAAAAUUAUAUAAUGCCUUGUUUCCCUUUUUGCCUUGGCUCCCAAGAAACUCAGAGAUAAGUUUAAUUCUUAACCUUGGUGAAUAUUUCAGCCUAAGUUUUUGCCCCCACUACUUCUCUAACCCCUGCAGUUUUUGUUCAUGUUUUUCUUCUUUUAUGGACUUAAAUGUGUAUGUGUGCUAAUUUACUAUAUGUUUAUGAACCAUCUCAAAUUAUUUUUGGAAGGUAGAUGAAGUAACCAGAAUAAAAAUAAAGUCCUAUGAAUUAGGAUAUAAAUUGUGUUUAUGUUGCCACUGCUUACCAUUUCUUUGUUAGAUGUUAUGCCUAGAUUAAUGUCAUUAGCUUAUAUGCUGAAAAUGUAAUCACAUAAUGUUUUUAAAAUAGUAAAUGACACAAUUAUUAUAUAUAUGUAAAAUUCAGAUCCAUUCAAAAAAUAUCCAUGUUCUUUUAUAUGCUUAGGACUCAACUUGGUGCUAUUGUAUUUAGCUAUUGUAAAAUAGCUCAGCCUUUAAGAAGUUUGUAUAUAAGCCAUCUGCCAUGUACUUGGCUUUUGGGCACUGGGAAGAGCUAGAUGGGGUAGAAAUGCAUCUUCUCUUAAAAGGAGCUUACAACUCCCAAAGUUACAACUCUAUCACAAAAAGAGUGUCAAGACACAACCCAAGUUCAUCACCUGAAUGCCAUUGAUAAGGAUUUCCAGAUGGACAAAACAUUAAGCUGACACCAAGUGAAACGUGUACUUCACAGACUUUCAUGUUUCAUUUCGUGAUAUGCAGUGGCACUCUGAAGAACUGGGCUUUCAGAAUGUAUGUGUUUGGUCCGGUUCUUCGUAUAGGGAGCAGUAUCUUUGGAACAGUCACAGCAUACACCACACCACACUAGGUUCUAUCUGUGGCAGGGUCAGCUCAUUAAAGCUACUUUCUGGGUCCUCGUUAAUGUCAUGCAGGCCUUGUGACAGGUGUUACAGCUCCCCACCUGGCACGGUCCAUUGGGGGUGUGCUGUAAUUGCUCUUGAUGCCACACUUAAUGGGUGGGGGAAGAAAGUAGCAUUAUGUGUGAGGGGAGAGUUUUAGAGAUGUUUUGUUUCCUACCUACCAAGGGAAAAAAAGGGAAUUGGCAGAUAGAGUUUAUAUCUUGGGAUGAGAUGUGUAAAGGGCCAGGACCUGAAAUUACGUGAAGGUUGAUAUUCUGGGAUUGGUAGUUUUGAAGUUCCAUAAAGAAGUUCAGUCCAGCCAUGUUCCAAAUGCUCUGAGUAUAGGCACUGGCUGGUAAGCUUAGUGGAGUGUUAUACAACAUGGAAGUCUAACUGGCAGUUCAAUGUCCCAAAAGUUGGACAGAACCAAGAAAUAGAGAACAUAAGCAGAUGACAGUAAUCCAGGCAGAAGGUUAGUGUCAGAGAAGUCUGUCAGUGGGUCAUAGGGCUCCACGUGCUAGCCUGGGUUUCCGUGCCAGAAUUUUGUUCUUGGGAGGCAGGUAGGGAAAAGCAAG
rnacentral:lncRNA from 1 species